UACGUAGGUCCCGAGCGUUGUCCGGAUUUAUUGGGCGUAAAGCGAGCGCAGGUGGUUUAUUAAGUCUGGUGUAAAAGGCAGUGGCUCAACCAUUGUAUGCAUUGGAAACUGGUAGACUUGAGUGCAGGAGAGAAGAGUGGAAUUCCAUGUGUAGCGGUGAAAUGCGUAGAUAUAUGGAGGAACACCGGUGGCGAAAGCGGCUCUCUGGCCUGUAACUGACACUGAGGCCCGAAAGCGUGGGGAGCAAACAGG
rnacentral:rRNA from 1 species